UACGUAGGGGGCAAGCGUUGUCCGGAAUCAUUGGGCGUAAAGCGCGUGUAGGCGGCUCGAUAAGUCUGCUGUGAAAGUUCAGGGCUCAACCCUGAAAUGCCGGUGGAAACUGUCGAGCUAGAGUCCGGAAGAGGUGAGUGGAAUUCCUGGUGUAGCGGUGAAAUGCGCAGAUAUCCGGAAGAACACCGGUGGCGAAGGCGGCCUGCUGGGCAGUAGCUGACGCUGAGGCGCGACAGCGUGGGGAGCAAACAGG
rnacentral:rRNA from 1 species